rnacentral:rRNA from 1 species
AUGGAGGUUUGGUUGAAAUUGGUUACGACGAUGUCGAGUUGGCGGCGGAGGAAGACUCGGCAUGAAGGCCAGAAAAUGGUGUGGAACGUAGUGGUAAUAGUACGCGCCCCGCUCCGAAACAAAGAAAAAGGUGCGUGCCGCACUCACGAGGGACUGCCAGUGAGAUACUGGAGGAAGGUGGGGAUGACGUCAAGUCCGCAUGGCCCUUAUGGGCUGGGCCACACACGUGCUACAAUGGCAAUGACAAUGGGAAGCAAGGUUGUAAGGCGGAGCGAAUCCGGAAAGAUUGCCUCAGUUCGGAUUGUUCUCUGCAACUCGGGAACAUGA